rnacentral:tRNA from 1 species
GCGACAGGAGAGUUAUGACUGCCGUUGGACUUCGGAUCCAAAGGUCGGAGGUUCGAAUCCUCCCGGGCGCGUCA